rnacentral:lncRNA from 1 species
GCAAAUCCUACUCCUAUCUAUCCCGAACCUGUGAACCCAAUCGAAUGACGCCGACGGCGAGCCUCCUCCCGGCUCCACCCUUCGUCUCCAUCUCCGAUGCGCGCCGCCUCCAGCUCCUCCCGUGCGGCCGCUGCCGGCCUCGCCUCCGCUGUGGCGGCACGGAGUGGGGCUCUGUACGGACCCAGAUGCUAUCCUCUUUCGUCGGUAAGAGAGUAUGGGGGAACCUUACCUUACCUUUGAAUGGAUUGCUCUGGUUGUGGGGUCCGUUCCUUCUUUGCUGGGCGCAAUCCAAC